CAGGAAACAGGGCUGUAUUUGCUCUAUUAGGAAUGCUGUUCAGCUGCUUAAAGGAGAAGUAACAAUUUCACCCUUUACUGCUUCCCCUGUGUAGGUAAGGAAUAUCCUUGGCUCUCUGCUGCAGUUUGCACCAUGGCUCAGCAUAGGCAGCCUGUUUAGAGUCAGGGAGAGAAUGCAGAGGGUGUUUUGCAGCAGACUUGAGCAUCUCCUGCCCAAGUGGAUGCUACAUUAGGAAGCCCUGCAGCUGGAGAAUAACCAGGACAGUGUGGUCCUGACAAUGCUGUGCAGGUCACAAGGAAGAGAACAUGAGCUGUGCCCACUUGCAGCAGCUUUUUGACAUACCUGUCUGCAGCCUAGGACAUCCACUGCCAAGGGCAAGUGUUCAUGGAAAACACCAGGGUGUAUACAGAUGAGAGCUAGAGUUUCUCUGCAGAGAAACAGGCACUGGG
rnacentral:lncRNA from 1 species